GACAGAGGGUGCAAACGUUGUUCGGAAUUACUGGGCGUAAAGCGCGUGUAGGCGGCUAUGUAAGUCGGGCGUGAAAUCCCACGGCUCAACCGUGGAAGUGCACCCGAAACUGCGUAGCUAGAGUCCUGGAGAGGAAGGUGGAAUGCUUGGUGUAGAGGUGAAAUGCGUAGAUAUCAAGCGGAACACCGGUGGCGAAGGCGGCCUUCUGGACAGUGACUGACGCUGAGACGCGAAAGCGAGGGGAGCAAACGGG
rnacentral:rRNA from 1 species